AAAACUUUCAACAACGGAUCUCUUGGCUCUGGCAUCGAUGAAGAACGCAGCGAAACGCGAUAAGUAAUGUGAAUUGCAGAAUUUAGUGAAUCAUCGAAUCUUUGAACGCACAUUGCGCCCGCCAGUAUUCUGGCGGGCAUGCCUGUCCGAGCGUCAUU
rnacentral:rRNA from 2 species